rnacentral:rRNA from 1 species
UGGGGAAUAUUGCACAAUGGGCGCAAGCCUGAUGCAGCCAUGCCGCGUGUGUGAAGAAGGCUCUAGGGUUGUAAAGCACUUUCAGCGAGGAGGAAAGGGGUUGAGCUAAUACCUCAGCUCUGUGACGUUACUCGCAGAAGAAGCACCGGCUAACUCCGUGCCAGCAGCCGCGGUAAUACGGAGGGUGCGAGCGUUAAUCGGAAUUACUGGGCGUAAAGCGUACGUAGGCGGCUACUUAAGUGGGAUGUGAAAGCCCUGGGCUCAACCUGGGAACUGCAUCCCAAACUGGGUAGCUAGAGUGCGAGAGAGGAGUGUGGAAUUUCCUGUGUAGCGGUGAAAUGCGUAGAUAUAGGAAGGAACACCAGUGGCGAAGGCAACACUCUGGCUUGACACUGACGCUGAGGUACGAAAGCGUGGGGAGCAAACAGGAUUAGAUACCCUGGUAGUCCACGCCGUAAACGAUGUCGACUAGUUGUUGGAAGUCUUAGUACUUUUGGUGACGAAGCUAACGCGAUAAGUCGACCGCCUGGGGAGUACGGCCGCAAGGUUA